GGUAUUUUGACUAUACGAAGGUAUUGAAAUAAGAUUUUAAAUGAGUGCUAAGAGAAUGAUUAAACAAUUAAAAGCUUUCUUUAAUUGAAUAAUUGAAUUUAAUUUUUUAGUGCAAAAGCAAAAAUAAAAAUUAGGGACAAGAAGACCCUAUGAAUUUUUUAUUAAAUUUUAUAAAACUUUAUAUAAAAUUUAAUUUAAUUGGGGUGAUGGAAAAAGAAUAAAUAUCUUUUUUUAAAAAAAAAAUUGGUUCCGUUUUUAGCGAUUAAAUGAAAAAAAUACUCUAGGGAUAACAGCGUAAUAAUUUUGGAUAGUUCAUAUAGAUAAAAUAGUUUGCGACCUCGAUGUUGGAUUAGGAUUCUUUUUUGGUGAAGAAGU
rnacentral:rRNA from 1 species